UGGGGAAUCUUGGACAAUGGGGGAAACCCUGAUCCAGCCAUGCCGCGUGAGUGAUGAAGGCCUUCGGGUUGUAAAACUCUUUCGCGCACGACGAUAAUGACGGUAGUGCGAGAAGAAGCCCCGGCUAACUUCGUGCCAGCAGCCGCGGUAAUACGAAGGGGGCUAGCGUUGUUCGGAAUUACUGGGCGUAAAGCGCGCGCAGGUGGCUUUCCAAGUCAGUGGUGAAAGCCCGGAGCUCAACUCCGGAAAUGCCAUUGAAACUGGUUGGCUUGAGUAUGGGAGAGGUGAGUGGAAUUCCGAGUGUAGAGGUGAAAUUCGUAGAUAUUCGGAAGAACACCAGUGGCGAAGGCGGCUCACUGGCCCAUUACUGACACUGAGGCGCGACAGCGUGGGGAUCAAACAGGAUUAGAUACCCCCGUAGUCC
rnacentral:rRNA from 1 species